rnacentral:rRNA from 1 species
UGCCUCUUCUGAUGGCGACCGGCGCACGGGUGCGUAACGCGUAUCCAAUCUACCGCAUACUCGGGGAUAGCCUUGCGAAAGUAAGAUUAAUACCCGAUGUUGUGCAUUGCCCGCAUGGGCGGUGUACCAAAGAAUUUCGGUAUGCGAUGAGGAUGCGUCCCAUUAGGUAGUUGGUGAGGUAACGGCUCACCAAGCCUCCGAUGGGUAGGGGUUCUGAGAGGAAGAUCCCCCACACUGGAACUGAGACACGGUCCAGACUCCUACGGGAGGCAGCAGUGAGGAAUAUUGGUCAAUGGGCGAGAGCCUGAACCAGCCAAGUAGCGUGCAGGAUGACGGCCCUCUGGGUUGUAAACUGCUUUUAUACGGGGGUAAAAAACGCCACGUGUGGCGUCUUGCAAGUACCGUAAGAAAAAGGACCGGCUAAUUCCGUGCCAGCAGCCGCGGUAAUACGGAAGGUUCGGGCGUUAUCCGGAUUUAUUGGGUUUAAAGGGAGCGUAGGCGGGUGUUUAAGUCAGCUGUGAAAGUUUGAGGCUCAACCUUAAAAUUGCUUUAGAUACUGGAUACCUUGAGUGUGCGCAGCGGCAUUGGAAUUCGUAGUGUAGCGGUGAAAUGCUU